CCCCGAGGGAUAUUAGACCUGCAGAAAGCGGCUGGAGUUCAGAGCGCAGUGAGACCUAGGGCUGCCUACAAACAAAAGCCAUCACUGAGGUUACACAUCUCGUCGUUUAGAAAUGGAACUAUGAAGAACACACAAAGAGAAGUGAUAGCAAUAUCUGUCUUCUAUGUGACCUUUACAGAUGAAAUCGGAAUAGCUGGUACAGCGCUGCUGUAGGCCUCUCUGAAUCGACCGGAGUUCCUUGAAUUACACAGCCCUUCCAGUUCCCUUUCAAUGGCAUCCAAGUCACACCGAUCCAAAUAAACGCAGUCUUUGACCUGAGAGGCUUACAACCAGAAAGUACACUAUUUAGUCGUAACGAGGGCAGCAAACUAGUGCUACAGUUUUAAGUAAAAAGACAAUUUCGAGAAUGGCAAGUUUCCAUGCCAACAGACAUGAUCAAAAGGUACAGUGACUCAUGUGAUGCGGAAGUUAUACACACUUCAGUUUGACAGAUAAUUUGGCAUUAUUUUAUUAUGAAUCCGAGUGAGCGUGAAUGAAACAAAAUCAGUACCAACUUUCUGCAAAUGAAGACACAAAGAUGUGAAAAUUUGGUAAUAGACAGUGCUCUCACAAGCCUGAAAACACUUAGGAAAUGCAAGUUUCCGUAAAUAAGGUGAAUGUGGUUUAACUUUAUUUACCUGCCAAAGAAUCUGUCUAAGAACACUUAAACAUAAAAUUUCUUAGCUCCCUAACUUAUAAAAAAAAUUUACUUUCAACAGAGGUGAGGUACUGGGCUGUCAUUGUUUACACUACGUCGGAAAUGAAAGCUGGAUCAGAGGGAUGAAUGAAGAAAUAGCAAAUAUACAAGACGUUAAAACCAAAAGAGACCUACCGCUUGACACACUAGUUCUGAAAGGUUGCAAGGCAGAGGCUGUAUUUAAGCUGAAUUUAGGAUUACAGACAACCAUCUGGGUGCGAGAGAUCUUCUAAUUCAACUUCCUGCACAUCGAAAUGAUAUGUACUCCCAGAUACCUAGGAAUUUCUGGAGAUAGAUCUGUUUGCUCAGUAACAUACCCAAGUUUGACAGGCGGGGAAGAGACGGCAGUUUGAUUGUAUGGCAGUUUGACUGUGGAGCUAUGAUCACACUUCAGACUGGGGAAAAAAAGACAGGCAGUCAGGAGGAAAGCAGAGACACAGUAAAGGAUGCUCAGUUCUGGACAGAAAGGGCUUCCCUCGGCAUGCACGGGUGUGCCCUGGAGCAACGGGAAAACAGCUCUGCCCGAUUAAGUUAGAAUGAUACCUGAAGUACUCAUUACAUCAUCUAACCUGUGUAUUUUUAGAACACAGGAACAGUAGUGGUGAAGCGUACUCUAGUGCAGGUUAUUGCUUAAUCCUCUUCUCAUACCAUUUUCGGUAAGAACUGUACAGCGAUUGGGCUGGGAAAGGGGCACGAGUGCCAUCCCAUAAAACACAGAUGUUUCUUACGCAUUCUGCUGGAAAAAUGUUCUAAGACGGCUAGCAGUGCGGUCAGAUUUAGUACUCGAAUUCAGAAUUAACACUUCCAAAAUACCGAUUUCUAACUCAAAAGCCAGUUUAUCACUUUGGUACCUCUUGGUCCCCAAUUUCUGAAACUCUUCUAAACUGGUUGCAGUGUUGUUCUGUGCACGUUUUCCUACCUGCUCUGCAUAGGUAUUAAGAAUAGAAGCAAAAGAAGUUUGUAAUCACAUUCCACUGCUCGUUUGCUACGGAAUUUUUUUUCCAAAGUUUUCCAAAAGCAGGACAUAAGCCAUAUUUUAAUUCAAUGACGCACACAAAAACUUGGGUUUCCCCGUUUAAUAAACAUUUUGUGGUAACAUCAGCCAGAUUUACAUAAGACCUGGACAUUAUUUCUGAUUGUUUUUGUGGGGUUUGUUUGUUUUUUGUUUAUUAUGUUACAAACUGAAGUUAAGGGGAACUUGCAACAAGUCCCACAAAGCGCAGUGCAACAUUUAAAAAGAAAAGUAAACAAAACUGCCAAACACUCAAUCAUUUUCUGCCAGAACUGGGAUAUUUUUUUCCUAAGACAUCAGUUUGGGGAGGGGGAUAAAAUUCAAUGAAGAAUUAAAUGAACUCAAGAUAGUGGGAACUGCAAGGAAAAAUAAGAAAUGACAGCCACAACCUUUUCAAUUUAAGGGCAGAAUAUAAGUCUAAGAUAUUUUUGAUAAAUUCUGACAAGAAAAAGAAAACAGCAUACUUUAAAGUAUAUUGAAGCAGUGAUUUUUAAACAAAGAAAGCAGAACUAGAACAUCUUAAAUUUUAAUCCUUUCUUUACAGGUUACCUAGCCCACUUUUGAUUAAGAAAACUGUAGAAAGUUAGUAACAGCCACAAGUUAACACCGAAAGGUGGCACUUGUCAAUUUUCCAUAGAGUCCUGCUUUACGGGGUGUCUCAAAUGCACUGCUCCGAUCUUCUAUCAUACGUUGCUGACAUCAAUUGUGUCAGAUUUUA